rnacentral:rRNA from 1 species
UACAGAGGUCCCAAGCGUUGUUCGGAUUUACUGGGCGUAAAGGGUGCGUAGGUGGUCGGGUAAGUCUCAUGUGAAAUCCCGCAGCUUAACUGCGGAACGGCAUGGGAUACUAUCCGGCUAGAGGAUUGGAGGGGGGACUGGAAUUCCCGGUGUAGCAGUGAAAUGCGUAGAUAUCGGGAGGAACACCAGUGGCGAAGGCGAGUCCCUGGACAAUCCCUGACGCUGAGACGCGAAAGCUAGGGGAGCGAACAGG